UUUCGGUGCAAGACACAGAAUUUCAACUAUCUAAACUAUUAAGAACAAUUCCGGAUGAUGCAUAUGGUGUAAAUUUUACUGAAUUUGAAAUAAGAUCAGAUACAUCACAAAUUUCAAAUCAAUACCAGGGGUCUUAUUUGAUUGGAAUUGGAUGUUACCGUGCAGUCUUCAAUACUCUCAUUGAUAGCAUAUCUAAGGGAUUGACAACCAACGAGUCUUGUGAUAUUUUUCUCCCUGGUGACAAUUAUCCUUACUGGUUGGCUCAUACGGGUGAGGGACAUUCAGUGUAUUUUACUGUGCCCAAGGAUUGUCGCAUAAAGGGAAUGACUUUGUGUGUUGUUUAUUUAUCAACCCGCGAAAACAUGGCAACUAAAUGUCUAGUUAGUGUUUCAAUGGUUAAUUACACAAAGUGCACCAUGCAGAUACACAAGCAAGACACAGUAAUUUCAUUUGAUUGGCAGGGCAUAAUAUCACAUUUGGGACCUGGAGACAAGGUAAAAAUUUUUGUGACUCUUGGGAAUGGAUUGGCAAUCAAGAAGACAGCUGUCUAUCUAAUGUGUGAUGAAUCAAUUGGCAUGGAAAUAAAGCCUUCUCCCAAGACAAAAAUGGAAAUGAAGCCUUCUCCCAAGACAAAAAUGGAAAUAAAGCCUUCUCCCAAGACAAAAAUUCCUUCGAACCAAAAGGAUAAAAAGCCUUCUCCCGAGACAAAAAUUGCUAGGAACCAAAAGGGCCUAUCAAGUGUUUUUGCUAGGCGGUAGCAGUAGUUAGAAUAAUGAAGGUCUCACUUUGACUUGGACUAUGUGAAACUUAUAAAUACCCUUGUACAUACGAUUAGGGGGAUUCAUUUUUUGGUAAUUGAUAAUAAACUGAUUUUACAGUAUGAAGGGGGUCUUUCUUCCCUUGGCAGAGCAGAAUAAUAGACUUUCUCUCUGAUUCUCUUCCUUCUCCCAUCUCUCUUCUAUUUCAAUUCUGAAUCUUGACUGUUGGGAUCUAUCAGAAAAUGUCAUUGUUAGUUUUAUAAAGAUAGGAGAGGUUUUAAAUUUUAAUCAAUUUUUACUGGGCUCGCCAAAAGUCAGUCUAGGAUUCCCAUACUUCUCGGAGAGAGGAGGGAAGAACUUAUGAAACACAUAUAUAAAGGAGAAAUUCAUCAUAAAAUCUCGAUAAGAGUUCAUUUCCCAUUGUGCUAGGCCUCGUGGUGUCUAGACAAGGUGUGUGAUACUGUGAUGCAGUAGAAUAGUAGCAAUAUUUGGUGGAUGACAGGUAUUCUAACCACAAUUUGAAUCAACAGACUUUGGGUAUUCAUAGGGCUGAAAUUUCUGAAAUCAUUUUCAUCUUCGAGUAGUAUUGGUAUGCACAACAUGCCUAUAUUUUUUCAGAAAAUAUACGGUUAAUACCUUCAAUUAUAAUUGAUGCCCUCUUGCUGCAAGUAUUAUCUGUGUGGAAUCGAAAAGAUGGAAGAAUUGGAAAUCAACCAUAUUUUGAUUUUGCAAAGGAAUUUUUCAAGGAGGUCAAGAGGUGGCACCUUGAAGGAACUAAGAGGAAUGUGCUAGACAUGAAAAUUUGGACCAGUCAAAGCCC